GAGCAGUAAGCCUGGGGGAGCAGAGAGAGACAGAUUGAGUAGGCGCUUCUCUGCUUAUCCCUGACUAGAAGGCAAUGAGUUUCCUUCCAAGCAACCUGCUCAUAGCCGUGGAUACUGAUAUGAGUGGACACGCCUCUCUCCUCUCUGCUCAGGAUACGGAAAAAGCUUGAGGGAGGGAGAGGAGGAGGAGGAGGAGGAAGGGCAGCAAAGGAGGGGCAUGGAGAGUGAGGCGCAGGACAUUUGCAAACAGAUUGAGUCAGUCAGCUGAGAAAGAGAGAGAGAGAGGGGGGGAUAGAGAGUGAUAGGGAGUGAAUAACUAACUGUUGAUGUGCUUAAAGCUGUUCUGGGUUGAGGAGCUGAGUGUAUUGUGAAUCAUGGCCUUCAGGAAGAGGAGCUUCACUUUUGGCGCCUAUGGAGGAGUGGACAAAAGUUUCUCCAAGGCUAGGAGUCACUGGAAACAUGAUGGCAGAGUCCCUCGAAUCUCUGAUGUGUUAGAGCAUCCCCUGAGCCCCCUACAACCCCUGCCCGUUCCUUCUGGGCUUCCUAAGACCUCAGAUUUAUUUGCGAUGAUCGAGCGGAUGCAGAACAGCAGAAUGGAUGAGCAGAGAUGCACACUUCCACCCCCCCUCAAAACAGAGGAAGACUACAUUCCAUAUCCAGGUGUUCAUGAGGUGCUGUCUCGGAAAGCCCCCUUUCCCUUAAUUUUGCUGCCUCAGUUUGGAGGUUAUUGGAUUGAAGGCACCAAUCAUGACCUCAGUUCGACCCCUGCUCCUGAGGAGCCACCUCCAUGCCCAGCAUCACAGAUUAAACUGGAGACAAACAGCACAGCAAAGAUCUACAGAAAAGACUUCAUGGGCAAGGAGCACUUUAAUUAUUACUCUAUGGACACCGCACUGGGCCACCUCGUCUUCUCCGUGAAGUAUGACGUGAUCGGGGACCAAGAGCACCUGCGUUUAAUGCUCAGGUCAAAGUACAAAACCUACCAUGAUGUGAUACCUAUUUCCUGUCUCACUGAGUUUCCUAACGUGGUGCAGAUGGCAAAGCUGGUGUGUGAAGAAGUGAAUGUGGACAGAUUUUACCCUGUACUCUACCCAAAGGCCUCCAGACUCAUUGUAACAUUUGAUGAACAUGUCAUAAGCAACAAGUUCAAGUUUGGGGUCAUCUAUCAGAAGUUUGGACAGACAUCAGAAGAGGAGCUUUUUGGAAACAGUGUGGAGAGUCCCGCCUUCGUUGAGUUCCUGGAGUUUUUAGGGCAGAAGAUUGAGCUGCAUGAUUUUAAAGGGUUUCGAGGAGGCCUCGAUGUCACACACGGUCAAACUGGAAGUGAGUCGGUGUACCACAACUUCCACAACAAAGAAAUCAUGUUCCACGUUUCCACUAAACUUCCCUACACUGAAGGAGACUCACAGCAGGUAAGGACUGUCCUUUCAUAUUGUGCCAUCUGUCAAAUUCUGCUUGUUUUUCACACUGGGGCUGCACAUAAUAAUUUUUGCAAUAUUCUCUGUGCACAUUGUGUAGAGGAGGCUGUCAUACCUGUGCUAAAAGGCAUGUCAUUGCAGGUGUCAGUGACAGCGAGAGAUGACGUGCCUUUCUUCGGGCCUGCUCUCCCAGACCCAGCUGUAUUCAAAAAGAGCCCAGAAUUUCAUGAGUUCCUCCUGACAAAACUCAUCAAUGCUGAGUAUUCCUGCUAUAAGGCUGAGAAGUUUGCCAAGUUGGAGGAGAGAACACGCUCUGCACUGCUGGAAACUCUGUACGAGGAGCUGCAUGUGAACAGCCAGUGCAUGAUGGGAUUGGGAGGAGAUGAUGAUAAGCUGGAGAACGGAGGUGGAGGAGGAGGAGGCUUUUUUGAGUCUUUUAAGAGAGUAAUUCGCAGUAGGAGUCAGUCUAUGGACGCUAUGGGCCUGAGCAAUAAGAAGCCUCACACUGUCUCGACCAGCCACAGUGGCAGCUUUACCCACAAUCCCCCAGACACACCCAAAACGCCGGGAAUUUCUUUGAUCAUACCCGGUAAGAGCCCAACCCGGAAGAAAUCAGGCCCGUUCAGCUCCAGACGAAGCAGCGCCAUCGGUAUUGAGAACAUCCAGGAGGUCCAGGAGAGAAGAGCACCCUCCAUCCCAGAGACUCAUGACCUGUCUCGUUCCUCGUCCAACGCCAGCAGCUUUACCAGUGUAGUAGAGGAAAACGAGCACGAACAAGAAGCUACAGAGGACUACGACACAGGACUGGAGAGCCUGUCUUCUGCCGGGACUCCUCACAAACGAGACUCACUAACAUACAGUGCUGGCUGGCUGGAGGAGAGCAUUAACAGCACUGGCCAAGGCAGCCCAGUCCCCACUCGACCGACGUCUGACCCUGUUCGACCCAAAACAGAGAGACAGCACUCUGCGUCGGUGAGAGCUUAUUACAGUUUCAUAUUGAUUUGAUGGACACUAUAGAGCUAAGAAUUAUGAAUGUUAAGAUUAAAGUUGCUUAAUGUUGUAAUGAGUCCUGCAAUGCUUUUGACGCUCUGUAUAAUAUGUGUGUGUGUGUGUGUGUGUGUGUGUGUGUGUGUGUUUGUUCUUCUGUACAGAACUGUUAGGCUCUUCUCACAGAUUAUUUCAUGGAUGUCCAUCAGAAGGUACAGCUUUUCAGAUCAAAUAUACUGUAGAGGGGUAUACUGCAUGAGGGGUAUACUGCAUUUGGGACACUCAACUGAGUAUACAAUCAUAUGAAAAAGUUUGGGCACCCCUAUUAAUCUUAAUCAUUUUUAGUUCUAAAUAUUUGGGUGUUUGUCCUCAACUGUUCUCACCAUUCUUCUUCUCUGCCUUUCUGAUAUUUUUCUUGGCCUG
ensembl:lncRNA